ACCUUAGAUGUCCUGGGCUGCACGCGCGCUACACUGAUGUGUCCAGUAAGCACCUAACCUCUUCCGAAAGGAACGGGUAACCUUUGCAAAGCACAUCGUGAUGGGGAUAGAUUAUUGCAAUUAUUAGUCUUGAACGAGGAAUUCCUAGUAAGCACAAGUCAUCAGCUUGUGUUGAUUACGUCCCUGCCCUUUGUACACACCGCCCGUCGCUCCUACCGAUUGAAUGUUCCGGUGAGCUCUUCGGACUGCGCGGUCUGCAGUUUCUGCGUUCCGUGCGGAAAGUUGCGCAAACCUUAACAUUUAGAGGAAGGAGAAGUCGUAACA
rnacentral:rRNA from 1 species